GGGGAAUAUUGGACAAUGGGGGAAACCCUGAUCCAGCAAUGCCACGUGUGCGAAGAAGGCCUUAGGGUUGUAAAGCACUUUAGUAGGGGAGGAAGGCUGUAGCGUUAAUACCGCUAUAGUUUGACAGUACCUUAAGAAUAAGCACCGGCAAACUCUGUGCCAGCAGCCGCGGUAAUACAGAGGGUGCAAGCGUUAAUCGGAAUUAUUGGGCGUAAAGGGCUUGUAGGUGGCUAAUUAAGUUAGAUGUGAAAUACCUGGGCUUAACCUGGGAAUGGCAUUUAAUACUGGUUAGCUAGAGUAUGGUAGAGGAAAGGGGAAUUUCCGGUGUAGCAGUGAAAUGCGUAGAUAUCGGAAGGAACAUCAGUGGCGAAGGCGCCUUUCUGGACUAAUACUGACACUGAGGAGCGAAGGCGUGGGGAGCAAAC
rnacentral:rRNA from 1 species